UAAAUAUAUAAUUAUUCUAAUAUUAAUUCCAAGUGUGAAUUUAGCGUUCCUAUAACAUUAUUUCGGUUAUCAAGAUCCACAAUUCUCGACAGUUUCAUUCCAAAAGACAUCAUGUACAAAGUAAAGUACGUAAACUAUACACGAAUUAACAACGUUCUAAAUACUUCUCAGUGGACGAUACCGACUCCGUUAUAUUUACCUGGAAGAAUGUUUCGUUUCUGUAGUUUUAAUAACUGACGAUAUUUCUGAAGCUGAAUGCACCUAGUCUUUCGUACAAUCGGUUUUAUAGACAGUCAAUGGACAGCCCGGCAAUAAAUCCAGCAAGUACGCAAAUAUUUGACGAUGCAGAAUUGAAAGGUACGUUUCACUUCCACGCGAAGAAACGACCGUUCAAUCCGCGAUCGAUGAUUUACGAUUAUUUGGGAAACGUUUCGUGAAUUGCAGCGUGCUCUGCAAAGGAUUAGUCGCAUGGUCGACCUUUUAGCUAUAAGUCAGAACCACGGAAUAAAGCUCUAGCCUACAGCGUUCGCUGAAAAAAAAAACAAAGUAAAUCGCGUUACCCGUUUGUUUGAUUUGUUGUUCGGGUCACCGUGAAUACCGUGUGUAGUAAGUUGCGAAAUCCCUGGCGAAAAGAAAACAACUCGCAUCGCGAAUUUAGUUUUUAUACGACAGGAAUAUGGCAAUUUGAGUAAGUUUAAGGUGUGGAAAAUAGCCUUAUAUUACCUCGCGGAGUUUUCUAUCAAUGACCUGACGUAAGAAGAAUGUACGGUAAGGAAAACAAGGACGACUACAAAGAGACGAUCAACUACAAAGAAACGAUCGACUACAAAGGAACUUGAAUAUACCCAGUGAGCAACCGAUCGAUAGUCGAUCAAAUGGACUUCCGUACUAAUCGCUUUCGAGAGUUUAUUAUCAUCUCGGAACUGUUCAUUCUCUUUCUAACAACGUUCGUGCUAUCCGGCAGUCGAUAGACGAUUCAGAUAUUGCGAACAGAAGCUGUUAAAGAAGAUAAAAGGGGAACUCGACUCAUGAUACGAUUGUUGUUUCUCCAUUACCUUUGUCAUUAGCGUUUAUCCCAUUGGUUUUAUUAGAA